UCAAAAACAACUACCUGCAUAAAUAACCCCUAAAACACACAACCCGCAUUAAACAAAACAUUUUUCCCCUCUAGUAUAGGCGAUAGAAAAAGACCCGUGGAACGACAAAGAAAGUACCGCAAGG
rnacentral:rRNA from 1 species